UAUUAAUGUGCUCAGAGUGCAAUGCUGCCAGGCAAGACGUCACAUAGAAAAAGGCACAGUUCAUCAGCAGGACUGACAAUUUAUCCUCUAGGACAUGGAGAUACUCCUUUAAAGGAUCACUCUGUUCAAGAGGUUGUAACCUGUAUCCUCAUGGUAACCUGUAUCCUCAGCUGGUCAGCUGGUUCACCUUGUUCAUACAUACAGAGAUGGGCUCCUGACAUUUUCACUGGCUCCCCUGCUGCUGUCUUGCUCCUCAGGUACUGAAACAAGCAAAUGAAUCU